AUUGAACGCUGGCGGCAUGCCUUACACAUGCAAGUCGAACGGCAACAGGUCUUCGGAUGCUGACGAGUGGCGAACGGGUGAGUAAUACAUCGGAACGUGCCUAGUAGUGGGGGAUAACUACUCGAAAGAGUGGCUAAUACCGCAUGAGAUCUACGGAUGAAAGCAGGGGAUCGCAAGACCUUGUGCUACUAGAGCGGCCGAUGGCAGAUUAGGUAGUUGGUGGGAUAAAAGCUUACCAAGCCGACGAGCUGUAGCUGGUCUGAGAGGACAAUCAGCCACACUGGGACGAAGACACGGCCCAGACUCCAACGGGAGGCAGCAGUGGGGAAUUUUGGACAAUGGGCGAAAGCCUGAUCCAGCAAUGCCGCGUGCAGGAUGAAGGCCUUCGGGUUGUAAACUGCUUUUGUACGGAACGAAAAGCCCCGGGUUAAUACCCUGGGGUCAUGACGGUACCGUAAGAAUAAGCACCGGCUAACUACGUGCCAGCAGCCGCCGCAG
rnacentral:rRNA from 1 species